rnacentral:rRNA from 1 species
AUUGAACGCUGGCGGAAUGCUUUACACAUGCAAGUCGAACGGUAGAGGGGGCAACCCCUUGAGAGUGGCGAACGGGUGAGUAAUAUAUCGGAACGUGCCCGGUCGUGGGGAUAACGUAGCGAAAGUUACGCUAAUACCGCAUACGAUCUAAGGAUGAAAGCGGGGGAUCGCAAGACCUCGCGCGAUUGGAGCGGCCGAUAUCAGAUUAGGUAGUUGGUGAGGUAAAGGCUCACCAAGCCAACGAUCUGUAGCUGGUCUGAGAGGACGACCAGCCACACUGGAACUGAGACACGGUCCAGACUCCUACGGGAGGCAGCAGUGGGGAAUUUUGGACAAUGGACGCAAGUCUGAUCCAGCCAUUCCGCGUGCAGGAUGAAGGCCCUCGGGUUGUAAACUGCUUUUGUACGGAACGAAACGGUGAGCUCUAAUACAGUUUGCUAAUGACGGUACCGUAAGAAUAAGCACCGGCUAACUACGUGCCAGCAGCCGCGGUAAAGUG